UCGGUUAUCAUGUUCCAGACGAACUCGGCAUCCUCUGUACCUUGCAAUGAUUUUGAUAUUGAGGUUUGGUCCGAUUGCCAGACUGGCAACAAAAACGUACACUGUAAAGAAGAAUGUGCCUUGGUUUCAUUGACGGAUUGACAGGAUGUCAGACAAUAGACGGUAAUAUAAAUAGAAAGUGCAAUCUAAAAAAUAAAAAGCGAUGAAUAUAAUAGAUCUCGUCUUUACACAUGCAACAAAAGUACAUAUUUACGAUUGAUUGUAGUUCUAAGAAGUUAAAUCUAAAAUUUCUAAAUUUCAUCUCAAAUUUUAGUGUCGACCGAAAGAAUUUUACCUAAGCGAAAAAUACCGAACCAAUUUGAUGUAAUUUGAUAAGGUUUGAGAAAAAAAAAUGAUAAAAAAAAAUAAAAACGAUACUUACAGAGUUCAAAAAGAAACA
rnacentral:lncRNA from 1 species